AGAAUCAACGCUGGCGGCGUGCCUAACACAUGCAAGUCGAACGAGAAAGUGGAGCAAUCCAUGAGUAAAGUGGCGCACGGGUGAGUAACACGUGACUAACCUACCCUUGAGUGGGGGAUAACCUAGAGAAAUCUGGGCUAAUACCGCAUAAUACCUUCGGGUCAAAGGAGCAAUUCGCUUAAGGAGGGGGUCGCGGCCGAUUAGUUAGUUGGCGGGUAAUGGCCCACAAGACUAUGAUCGGUA
rnacentral:rRNA from 1 species